AGUGGAGCCUGCGGCUUAAUUUGACUCAACACGGGAAACCUCACCAGGCCCGGACACCGGAAGGAUUGACAGAUUGAGAGCUCUUUCUUGAUUCGGUGGGUGGUGGUGCAUGGCCGUUCUUAGUUGGUGGAGCGAUUUGUCUGGUUAAUUCCGAUAACGAACGAGACUCUAGCCUGCUAACUAGGCGUAUUUCGACAUCCCAAAGGCCCGCCGGUUCGGGGUUUCCGCUCCUUUCCGCGCGCGGUUUUUACUGUCGGCGUACAAACAAUUCUUCUUAGAGGGACAGGCGGCUUCUAGCCGCACGAGAUUGAGCAAUAACAGGUCUGUGAUGCCCUUAGAUGUUCUGGGCCG
rnacentral:rRNA from 1 species